rnacentral:rRNA from 1 species
AUUCCAGCUCCAAUGGCGUAUAUUAAAGUUGUUGCAGUUAAAAAGCUCGUAGUUGGAUUUCAGAGUGAGCUCGUCCGGUCGGCCUAAAUGGUCUGAACUGGUUGACUCUCUCUUGCUUGUGGAUCCCGCCCGGAGUUAACUCUUCGGAUGUGGACUUCACAUCGUUUACCUUGAAAAAAUUAGAGUGUUCAAAGCAGGCGUAUGCUUGAAUAUAUUAGCAUGGAAUAAUGGAAUAGGACCCUGGUUCUAUUUUGUUGGUUUUGAGGACCAGAGUAAUGAUUAAUAGGGAUAGUUGGGGGCAUUCAUAUUUCAUUGUCAGAGGUGAAAUUCUUGGAUUUAUGAAAGAUGAACUUCUGCGAAAGCAUUUGCCAAGGAUGUUUUCAUUA